GAUGAACGCUGGCGGCGUGCCUAAUACAUGCAAGUCGAGCGAAUGGAUUAAGAGCUUGCUCUUAUGAAGUUAGCGGCGGACGGGUGAGUAACACGUGGGUAUCCUGCCCAUAAGACUGGGAUAACUCCGGGAAACCGGGGCUAAUACCGGAUGACAUUUUGAACCGCAUGGUUCGAAAUUGAAAGGCGGCUUCGGCUGUCACUUAUGGAUGGACCCGCGUCGCAUUAGCUAGUUGGUGAGGUAACGGCUCCAAGGCAACGAUGCGUAGCCGACCUGAGAGGGUGAUCGGCCACACGGGGACUGAGACACGGCCCAGACUCCUACGGGAGGCAGCAGUAGGGAAUCUUCCGCAAUGGACGAAAGUCUGACGGAGCAACGCCGCGUGAGUGAUGAAGGCUUUCGGGUCGUAAAACUCUGUUGUUAGGGAAGAACAAGUGCUAGUUGAAUAAGCUGGCACCUUGACGGUACCUAACCAGAAAGCCACGGCUAACUACGUGCCAGCCGCCGCCGUAA
rnacentral:rRNA from 1 species